CAUUAUAACUCUCACCUGAAAUGUGAUGAAUGAACCUACUAUUCUUAUGUGGGUUGGGUUGAGAAUUACUUUUCUGUAGUUUGACUGGAAUCUUAUUCUAGAAGAAAGAAAACUUUUUCUGAAGUGUGUUUUAUAAAAGGUCUGCCCAAGUUUCAUUGCUUCUUCCCAAGUCAAUGUUUACUAUGAAUGUGAUUUCAGCAGAAAAUCAUUGACAGAUCCUAAUUUCCAGAUAUAGAGGAAAGACUCCGAUAAAUCUAAAGAAGAAAGAAAUUCCUACAGGAAUGGCUAUAAUCAGUUUUCUUGAUGAAUUUGUGCAUCUCAUUACAGUUUUAUGGAGAAGUAAAAAAAAAAUCAAAUUAUAUUUAAUUACAUUGUGCAGGACAAAAUGUGUAUGUCUUAUUUAAUUACUAGUGUGAGCGAACUUAUUUAUGUAGAUGAAGAACAGAAUGUCUUUGUCUGGUGAUACCCCAGUAAAUCAGAUUGGUAUGUUAAUGCAACAUAUGUAAAUUGUGAUGGAUUUUAUUGAAAUGCUAUUAAUUCCUCUGUGUCUACUAUCAUCCAACAAGAUGCUGCUGCGGAGAAGCGGAAGAGGAAUUAUAAUUAAUGUACUACCUUCCAAGAAGUUUAUUCUUUCUCUGUUGUGAAGAGGAUAAAGGAUAACAACUUUGAGUGAAAUAAAUAAUGCAUUGAGUUCAACUGAACAUAACUUUGCUGUCACGAACUAACCUCUUUUUGCAGAGGCAGAACUCUAAGGACURUGCUUGUCUUAAGUUUCAUUUUGCCAGACACCCUGCUGGCUCUUUGCUUCUGCAGCAGUUUCCAUGAAAUCCCUCAAGCUUCCAUCAUUUUUCUUGUUAGGAUGCAGUAGUUGCUUCUUUGUAGCUUUCUGAGAAAGUUGAGUGGCCUUCAGGAACGACUAAGCUUUUUAAAUCAAAAAAUAUCCAACCGGUAUUUGUAUUAAACGUUGAUUAAUUCUGGAAAAUGUAGGGUUUUCAGAAUUAGCAUUAGAGGAUUUGAGCAUGAAACCAAACCUAAUAUUUAAAWAGUGGUGUGCUUAUCUCUUAAAUGGAAGCCCUAGGAUCAUUAUUAUAUCAUUAUUAUUUUAGCACUUGUUUUUUACGAAUCAGCAACCAACAAAGUGAAGACMCGAGGACUAAUUCAAAAGUAAAAUAGGUGUUGGCAAAAUAGUUUGAGAUACGUGGACAGGGCAAUAGAACUUGCGAAAUGUUAUCAUUAUUGAAACUAUUCAUUUCAUCUGUCUGGUAUCAAUAGCCUGUGUUUUGUUGACAAUUUAAUAUAUCUCUGCA